AGUCUGUCGGCAGCUCCCGUCGGCUGCGGAUGGUGCGGAGCCCUCCUCCGGUGUCAGGGUAUCUUGUUCUCUGUGGCAGCAUGGCAUUCUUCAGUUUGUCAGGUGAAGCGGGAGUGCUGUCUGUUGGUUUGUAGUUUCAGCAGGUUUGGAGUGGAGUUCCUUCCUGUGCUGGCUGAGGUCUGUGCUUUCCUGGAUUUUAGUUGUGUGUUCUAUAUGAGCAAUAUUGGGCUUUUUUUUUUUAAUUUUUG